rfam:Trichoderma harzianum strain T6776 Scaffolds0810.1, whole genome shotgun sequence.
ACAUACGACCAUAGGUAGAGGAGAGCUCGGGGUCCCGUCUGCUCCCCCAUAGAUAAGCCUCUAACCGGCAGAUUAGUAGUUGAGUGGGUGACC